AAGAACAUUGGGCUAUAUUACUGAGAAGCAGGGUCUGUUGAGAUAAACAAUGCAUAUCCACAUUUUUUCAUCCUUAUGGAGUAGCUUCAAGUCAGAGUUCAUUUUAAUUUUGGAGAUUCUUUUCAGUUGGAGAUGACUCUACUAUAAAUUUAUGGAAUGACAGAUGGUUUGAUAAACAAUCUUUGGCUCAAGCGUUACCCAUACCUGUCAAUCUUCAUCAGUUUGCUUCAAGUCAGAGUUCAGUUUAAUUUUGGAGAUUCUUUUCAGUUGGAGAUGACUCUACUAUAAAUUUAUGGAAUGACAGAUGGUUUGAUAAACAAUCUUUGGCUCAAACGUUACACAUACUUGUCAAUCUUCAUCA
rnacentral:lncRNA from 1 species